AUGCCCUUGUCAUCUUCUCGCCGCCGCCGCGGCCAUCGAGGCCCCCGCCGCCGACACCGCAGUUCGACAAGGGCCUGGGCAGAGCUUCCGCUGGUCGCGAUCUCGGCCAUUCUCCACAAGCUCGACCACAUCGAGAUCCUGAUGGGGGCCGGCCAGGUGUGCCGCUCCUGGCGCGGCGCCGCACGCGACGAGCCCGAGCUGUGGCGCCGCAUCGACAUGUGCUUCCACGCCGAGCUCUUCAACCAGCUCAACCUCCACGGGAUGGCGCAGGCCGCCGUCCGCCGCAGCAAGGGGCAGUGCGAGGCCUUUUGGGGUGAGUACGCCGGCGACGACGACUUCCUCCUCUACCUCGGCAACCAGGCACCAUCUCUCAAAAGUCUUCGACUCAUUUCUUGCUAUGAUGUUUCUAACGAAGGUUUCACAGUUGCGAUAGAGAAGUUCCCUUUGCUUGAGGAGCUUGAGCUUUCAUUGUGUUCAAAUGUGGGUGAGGGUGGUGUGUUUGGGGUUGUUGGCAAAGCAUGCCCGCAGCUGAAGCGCUUCAGACAGAGCAAGCAUUCAUUCUUUGAUUUUGAAGCCAGUGGCUACAAUAAGGACGAUGAAGCCCUGGGGGUUGCAACUAUGCGUGAGCUACGCUCUCUGCAGCUCUUUGGCAACAACCUCACCAACGAAGGACUGACAGCCAUCCUGGAUAACUGCCAGCACCUGGAGUCCCUUGACAUUCGUCAUUGCUUCAACGUCAACAUGGACGACGCCCUGCGAGCAAAGUGUGUCAGGAUAAAUACUGUGAGGCUUCCACAUGACUCAACUGCUGACUAUGAUUUUCAGGUUCAGGAGCCUACGUGGUCACGUUACCGCAGUGACUCCCAAGGCGAAGAUGACACUGAUGCUGAUGAUAUGGAGUAUGGUUUUGACUAUGAUCUGGACUCUGAGGACUAUGAUGACUACUGUGAUCCUUCCCGCUACCUUAAAGGCGUCUACGAGGAUGACCUUGAUGAAGAAGAUAGGAUGGUUCUUAGGGCUAUGCGUGCACUCAUGAAAUGA
rnacentral:rRNA from 1 species